rnacentral:rRNA from 1 species
GUCUUGACAUCCUUUGACCACUCUGGAGACAGAGCUUUCCCUUCGGGGACAAAGUGACAGGUGGUGCAUGGUUGUCGUCAGCUCGUGUCGUGAGAUGUUGGGUUAAGUCCCGCAACGAGCGCAACCCUUGAUUUUAGUUGCCAGCAUUUAGUUGGGCACUCUAAAGUGACUGCCGGUGCAAGCCGGAGGAAGGUGGGGAUGACGUCAAAUCAUCAUGCCCCUUAUGACCUGGGCUACACACGUGCUACAAUGGAUAGUACAAAGGGUCGCGAAGCCGCGAGGUGGAGCUAAUCCCAUAAAACUAUUCUCAGUUCGGAUUGUAGGCUGCAACUCGCCUACAUGAAGCCGGAAUCGCUAGUAAUCGUGGAUCAGCAUGCCACGGUGAAUACGUUCCCGGGCCUUGUACACACCGCCCGUCACACCACGAGAGUUUGUAACACCCGAAGUCGGUAGGGUAACCUUUAUGGAGCCAGCCGCCGAAGGUGGGACAGAUAAUUGGGGUGAAGUCGUAACAAGGUAGCCGUAUCGGAAGGUGCGGCUGGAUCACCUCCUUUCUAAGGAA